AGAGUUUGAUCAUGGCUCAGAUUGAACGCUGGCGGCAGGCCUAACACAUGCAAGUCGAACGGUAACAGGAAGCAGCUUGCUGCUUUGCUGACGAGUGGCGGACGGGUGAGUAAUGUCUGGGAAACUGCCUGAUGGAGGGGGAUAACUACUGGAAACGGUGGCUAAUACCGCAUAACGUCGCAAGACCAAAGAGGGGGACCUUCGGGCCUCUUGCCAUCAGAUGUGCCCAGAUGGGAUUAGCUUGUUGGUGAGGUAACGGCUCACCAAGGCGACGAUCCCUAGCUGGUCUGAGAGGAUGACCAGCCACACUGGAACUGAGACACGGUCCAGACUCCUACGGGAGGCAGCAGUGGGGAAUAUUGCACAAUGGGCGCAAGCCUGAUGCAGCCAUGCCGCGUGUAUGAAGAAGGCCUUCGGGUUGUAAAGUACUUUCAGCGGGGAGGAAGGUGUUGUGGUUAAUAACCACAGCAAUUGACGUUACCCGCAGAAGAAGCACCGGCUAACUCCGUGCCAGCAGCCGCGGUAAUACGGAGGGUGCAAGCGUUAAUCGGAAUUACUGGGCGUAAAGCGCACGCAGGCGGUCUGUCAAGUCGGAUGUGAAAUCCCCGGGCUCAACCUGGGAACUGCAUUCGAAACUGGCAGGCUUGAGUCUUGUAGAGGGGGGUGGAAUUCCAGGUGUAGCGGUGAAAUGCGUAGAGAUCUGGAGGAAUACCGGUGGCGAAGGCGGCCCCCUGGACAAAGACUGACGCUCAGGUGCGAAAGCGUGGGGAGCAAACAGGAUUAGAUACCCUGGUAGUCCACGCCGUAAACGAUGUCUACUUGGAGGUUGUGCCCUUGAGGCGUGGCUUCCGGAGCUAACGCGUUAAGUAGACCGCCUGGGGAGUACGGCCGCAAGGUUAAAACUCAAAUGAAUUGACGGGGGCCCGCACAAGCGGUGGAGCAUGUGGUUUAAUUCGAUGCAACGCGAAGAACCUUACCUGGUCUUGACAUCCACGGAAGUUUUCAGAGAUGAGAAUGUGCCUUCGGGAACCGUGAGACAGGUGCUGCAUGGCUGUCGUCAGCUCGUGUUGUGAAAUGUUGGGUUAAGUCCCGCAACGAGCGCAACCCUUAUCCUUUGUUGCCAGCGAUUAGGUCGGGAACUCAAAGGAGACUGCCAGUGAUAAACUGGAGGAAGGUGGGGAUGACGUCAAGUCAUCAUGGCCCUUACGACCAGGGCUACACACGUGCUACAAUGGCGCAUACAAAGAGAAGCGACCUCGCGAGAGCAAGCGGACCUCAUAAAGUGCGUCGUAGUCCGGAUUGGAGUCUGCAACUCGACUCCAUGAAGUCGGAAUCGCUAGUAAUCGUGGAUCAGAAUGCCACGGUGAAUACGUUCCCGGGCCUUGUACACACCGCCCGUCACACCAUGGGAGUGGGUUGCAAAAGAAGUAGGUAGCUUAACCUUCGGGAGGGCGCUUACCACUUUGUGAUUCAUGACUGGGGUGAAGUCGUAACAAGGUAACCGUAGGGGAACCUGCGGUUGGAUCACCU
rnacentral:rRNA from 1 species